CCGGGGGCUUGCCACCGGCCCAGCGCCGCCUCCCAGGAGGGGGCGGAAGUGACGCAAUCUGUCGCGUCAGACUGCGCGCCGCCGUCAUGGGUCAAAAACGCGACGCGCGGAGCGGCCUUUGCUCUCACCGGGGUCGAGCCGCGGCGAGGGAACGGAUCGGAGACGCUGCGCCUGCUCAGAAGGUAGCGCAGCGGGGAAAGGCGGGAGAGCGUUAACUUCUGAGCCUGCGCGGUGGGAGUUGCUCAAGCAGGUGGUAGCGACUUGGCUUCCGGGCAGCGGGUAAAGGAGCGGAUAUAUAUUCCAGCAGCAUGAGUAUUUUAG
rnacentral:lncRNA from 1 species